GACCUUGAAAUACCACCCUUUAAUGUUUGAUGUUCUAACGUUGACCCGUAAUCCGGGUUGCGGACAGUGUCUGGUGGGUAGUUUGACUGGGGCGGUCUCCUCCUAAAGAGUAACGGAGGAGCACGAAGGUUGGCUAAUCCUGGUCGGACAUCAGGAGGUUAGUGCAAUGGCAUAAGCCAGCUUGACUGCGAGCGUGACGGCGCGAGCAGGUGCGAAAGCAGGUCAUAGUGAUCCGGUGGUUCUGAAUGGAAGGGCCAUCGCUCAACGGAUAAAAGGUACUCCGGGGAUAACAGGCUGAUACCGCCCAAGAGUUCAUAUCGACGGCGGUGUUUGGCACCUCGAUGUCGGCUCAUCACAUCCUGGGGCUGAAGUAGGUCCCAAGGGUAUGGCUGUUCGCCAUUUAAAGUGGUACGCGAGCUGGGUUUAGAACGUCGUGAGACAGUUCGGUCCCUAUCUGCCGUGGGCGCUGGAGAACUGAGGGGGGCUGCUCCUAGUACGAGAGGACCGGAGUGGACGCAUCACUGGUGUUCGGGUUGUCAUGCCAAUGGCACUGCCCGGUAGCUAAAUGCGGAAGAGAUAAGUGCUGAAAGCAUCUAAGCACGAAACUUGCCCCGAGAUGAGUUCUCCCUGACUCCUUGAGAGUCCUGAAGGAACGUUGAAGACGACGACGUUGA
rnacentral:rRNA from 1 species